rnacentral:lncRNA from 1 species
GAGAACCGAUGACGUGGAUCCAUUAAUCAGCCCACGUGGCAUUAAACCACCGUCAUAUGCAAAACCGGUUUUGAUUAGAGGCAAAAGGUGUAUUGUGCAUUAGUUUUGGAAAUCGGAAGGGUUAAAUAAACGGUCUGAUAGUUUAGGCGGUUAUUCGAACUUUGUUCAUAGUUCAUGGUAGUAAUUUGAAUUUUUUCCUUAGCAAAAAGAAUA